GUUAGUUGGUGAGGUAACGGCUCACCAAAACGAUGAUGUCUAGGGGUUCUGAGAGGAUUAUCCCCCACACUGGUACUGAGACACGGACCAGACUCCUACGGGAGGCAGCAGUGAGGAAUAUUGGUCAAUGGACGCAAGUCUGAACCAGCCAUGCCGCGUGCAGGAUGACGGCCCUAUGGGUUGUAAACUGCUUUUCCACGGGAAGAACCCUCCGACGUGUCGGAGACUGACGGUACCGUGGGAAUAAGCAUUGGCUAACUCCGUGCCAGCAGCCGCGGUAAUACGGAGGAUGCAAGCGUUAUCCGGAUUUAUUGGGUUUAAAGGGAGCGUAGGUGGGCUUAUAAGUCAGCGGUGAAAUCCCCCGGCUCAACCAGGGAAUUGCCGUUGAUACUGUUAGCCUUGAGUACAGUUGAAGUGGGCGGAAUGUAGCAUGUAGCGGUGAAAUGCAUAGAAAUGCUACAGAACACCAAUAGCGAAGGCAGCUCACUAAGUUGUAACUGACACUAAUGCACGAAAGCGUGGGGAUCAAACAGGAUUAGAUACCCUGGUAGUCCACGCUGUAAACGAUGAUCACUCGUUGUUGGCGAUACACAGUCAGCG
rnacentral:rRNA from 1 species